GGNGCUCUCCCNUAUGGUCGACCUGCAGGCGGCCGCGAAUUCACUAGUGAUUAGAGUUUGAUCCUGGCUCAGGAUGAACGCUGGCGGCGUGCCUAACACAUGCAAGUCGAACGAAGCAAUUUAACGGAAGUUUUCGGAUGGAAGUUGAAUUGACUGAGUGGCGGACGGGUGAGUAACGCGUGGGUAACCUGCCUUGUACUGGGGGACAACAGUUAGAAAUGACUGCUAAUACCGCAUAAGCGCACAGGGCCGCAUGGUCCGGUGUGAAAAACUCCGGUGGUGUAAGAUGGACCCGCGUCUGAUUAGGUAGUUGGUGGGGUAACGGCCCACCAAGCCGACGAUCAGUAGCCGACCUGAGAGGGUGACCGGCCACAUUGGGACUGAGACACGGCCCAAACUCCUACGGGAGGCAGCAGUGGGGAAUAUUGGACAAUGGGCGAAAGCCUGAUCCAGCGACGCCGCGUGAGUGAAGAAGUAUUUCGGUAUGUAAAGCUCUAUCAGCAGGGAAGAAAAUGACGGUACCUGACUAAGAAGCCCCGGCUAACUACGUGCCAGCAGCCGCGGUAAUACGUAGGGGGCAAGCGUUAUCCGGAUUUACUGGGUGUAAAGGGAGCGUAGACGGUUUAGCAAGUCUGAAGUGAAAGCCCGGGGCUCAACCCCGGUACUGCUUUGGAAACUGUUAGACUUGAGUGCAGGAGAGGUAAGUGGAAUUCCUAGUGUAGCGGUGAAAUGCGUAGAUAUUAGGAGGAACACCAGUGGCGAANGCGGCUUACUGGACUGUAACUGACGUUGAGGCUCGAAAGCGUGGGGAGCAAACAGGAUUAGAUACCCUGGNUAGUCCACGCCGUAAACGAUGAAUACUAGGUGUCGGGGGGGCAAAGCCCUUCNGUGCCGCCGCAAACGCAAUAAGUAUUCCACCUGGGGAGUACGUUCGCAAGAAUGAAACUCAAAGGNANUNGACGGGGACCCGCACAAGCGG
rnacentral:rRNA from 1 species